UUCUAAUUUACCUUUAUAAGUUAUAUUAAAGUUCUAUUUCACAUUUAUUACCUGAUUGUAGUUAAUUAAUUGCAUAUAUGUUGCUUCAAAAUAUUUGAUUACAACUCUUUUAUACUACUGCAGAAGGGAGUUCAAACAUUUUCAAAAAUUGAUGAAAGAACUAUUCCAUGGAAGCAAAUAUUGGAAUUUGGUGGUUCUGCGUUUCUGCAUAGUCGUACCCCAGUGGAACUUAAGAAUAAAUGGAGGAACAUAUGUAGGCGGCGUGUGAAGUUGAAUUGAAGUGGUGAUGAAUUUGAUAGGUGAAGAGAACAUAAAAAGUAGCAGUUGUAGAGGAUGACAUGAUUGACACAGCUGUUUUGUGGCAGGUAGCUUUGUGUUUUGGUAUUUUGUGGUUCCUCCAAGUUGGACGGGCGACGGAGAUUAUCUUUGUUAUGCCAAAGGGGAUGAUGGGCAGCGUUGAGGAAGUAGGAGUUAGUCAUUGCCAGCCCUUGAUGUUAUUUAUGCUGUGCUGACAUGCUAUUUUGGGGAUGUUGUCAAUCUGUUAAUAGAACUGCAUGUAAAUAUUAUCAACAGGUGACAAGACUGUCUUGUUGCCAUAAUUAUUUUGAAAAAAAAAAAAAAAAAAAAA